rnacentral:misc_RNA from 1 species
UUUCAACCCUCAAGCAACCUCUGCUUGGUGUUGGGGAUCGGCCGUUAAAAGCCGUCCCCUAAAUCUAUUGGCGAUCUCGCUGUAGCUUCCUAUGCGUAGUAGUAACAUCUCGCAUCUGGAGAGCGGCGCGGUCAAGCCGUAAAACACCCCACUUUUUUCAGGUUGACCUCAGAUCAGGUAGGAAUACCCGCUGAACUUAA